GAUGAACGCUGGCGGCGUGCCUAAUACAUGCGAGUCGAGCGAACAGACGAGGAGCUUGCUCCUCUGACGUUAGCGGCGGACGGGUGAGUAACACGUGGAUAACCUACCUAUAAGACUGGGAUAACUUCGGGAAACCGGAGCUAAUACCGGAUAAUAUAUUGAACCGCAUGGUUCAAUAGUGAAAGACGGUUUUGCUGUCACUUAUAGAUGGAUCCGCGCCGCAUUAGCUAGUUGGUAAGGUAACGGCUUACCAAGGCAACGAUGCGUAGCCGACCUGAGAGGGUGAUCGGCCAAACUGGAACUGAGACACGGUCCAGACUCCUACGGGAGGCAGCAGUAGGGAAUCUUCCGCAAUGGGCGAAAGCCUGACGGAGCAACGCCGCGUGAGUGAUGAAGGUCUUCGGAUCGUAAAACUCUGUUAUUAGGGAAGAACAAAUGUGUAAGUAACUAUGCACGUCUUGACGGUACCUAAUCAGAAAGCCACGGCUAACUACGUG
rnacentral:rRNA from 1 species